UACGGAGGGAGCUAGCGUUGUUCGGAAAUACUGGGCGUAAAGCGCACGUAGGCAGCGCCGUAAGUCAGGGGUGAAAUCCCGGGGCUCAACCCCGGAACUGCCCUUGAAACUGCAGUGCUAGAAUCUUGGAGAGGUCAGUGGAAUUCCGAGUGUAGAGGUGAAAUUCGUAGGUAUUCGGAAGAACACCAGUGGCGAAGGCGACUGACUGGACAAGUAUUGACGCUGAGGUGCGAAAGCGUGGGGAGCAAACAGG
rnacentral:rRNA from 1 species